UAGAUAAAAACCGACUGGUUAAGGUGUUUAGCUGUUAACUAUUUAUUUAUGGGAUCGAGGCCCAUUUAUCUAG
rnacentral:tRNA from 1 species